UACGAAGGGUGCAAGCGUUACUCGGAAUUACUGGGCGUAAAGCGUGCGUAGGUGGUUUGUUAAGUCUGAUGUGAAAGCCCUGGGCUCAACCUGGGAAUUGCAUUGGAUACUGGCAGGCUAGAGUGCGGUAGAGGAUGGCGGAAUUCCCGGUGUAGCAGUGAAAUGCGUAGAGAUCGGGAGGAACACCGGUGGUGUAGACGGCGAUCUGGGUAGAUACUGACGCUGAGGUGCGAAAGCGUGGGGAGCAAACAGG
rnacentral:rRNA from 1 species